rnacentral:rRNA from 1 species
AUUGAACGCUGGCGGCAGGCUUAACACAUGCAAGUCGAACGAGUGGCGGACGGGUGAGUAAUGCUUGGGAAUCUGGCUUAUGGAGGGGGAUAACUACGGGAAACGGUAGCUAAUACCGCGUACCAUCGGAUGAGCCCAAGUGGGAUUAGGUAGUUGGUGAGGUAAAGGCUCACCAAGCCGACGAUCCCUAGCUGGUCUGAGAGGAUGACCAGCCACAAUGGGAAUGGGACACGGCCCAGACUCCUACGGGAGGGAGGAGUGGGGAAUUUUCCGCAAAGGACGAAAGGCUGAAGGAGCAACGCCGCGGGAGUGAUGACGGCCCUCGGGUUGUAAAGUACGUUAAUCGGGACGACGGUACCGGAAUAGAAAGCAACGGCUAACUACGUGCCAGCAGCCGCGGUAAUAC